rnacentral:rRNA from 1 species
GACGAACGCUGGCGGCGUGCUUAAUACAUGCAAGUAGAACGCACAGUUUAUACCGUAGCUUGCUACACCAUAAACUGUGAGUUGCGUACGGGUGAGUUACGCGUCGGUAACCUGCCUGGUAGCGGGGGAUAACUAUUGGAAACGAUAGCUAAUACCGCAUAAUAUUUAUUAUUGCAUGAUAAUUGAUUGAAAGAUGCAAUUGCCUCACUACCAGAUGGACCUGCGUUGUAUUAGCUAGUAGGUGAGGUUACGGCGCAACUAGGCGACGAUACAUAGCCCACCUGGGGGGGUGUUGAGCGACACUGAGAAUGUGACACGGCCCAGACUCCUACAGAGGAGAACAGUAGGGGAACGUCAGCAAUGGAAGAAAGACUGACCGCAAAGCGCCGCGUGAGGAAAGAGGAUUUUCGGAUCAUAAAGAUCUGUUGUAAGAGAAGAACGGGUGUGAGAGUGGGAAGUUCACGCUGUGACGGUAACUGACCAAAAAGAAACGGCUAACUACGUG